rnacentral:rRNA from 1 species
AUCCUGGCUCAGGAUUAACGCUGGCGGCAUGCCUAAUACAUGCAAGUCGAACGAGGUUCUUCGGAACCUAGUGGCGAACGGGUGAGUAACGCGUGAGGAACCUGCCUUCCAGUGGGGGACAACAGUUGGAAACGACUGCUAAUACCGCAUAAUAUGUACGGACCGCAUGAUCUGUACAUCAAAGCUUUAUGUGCUGGAAGAUGGCCUCGCGUCUGAUUAGCUAGUUGGUGGGGUAACGGCCCACCAAGGCGACGAUCAGUAGCCGGUCUGAGAGGAUGAACGGCCACAUUGGGACUGAGACACGGUCCAGACUCCUACGGGAGGCAGCAGUGAGGAAUAUUGGUCAAUGGUCUGACGACUGAACCAGCCAUGCCGCGUGAAGGUCACGGCCCUAUGGGUCUUAAACUUCUUUUGUAAGGGAGCAAUAAGUCUCACGUGUGGGAUGAUGAGAGUACCUUACGAAUAAGCAUCGGCUAACUCCGUG